CAAGCUCGUUUCUAUGGGUCU
rnacentral:miRNA from 1 species